ACGAACGCUGGCGGCGUGCUUAACACAUGCAAGUCGAACGGAAAGGCCCUGCUUUUGUGGGGUGCUCGAGUGGCGAACGGGUGAGUAACACGUGAGUAACCUGCCCUUGACUUUGGGAUAACUUCAGGAACUGGGGCUAAUACCGGAUAGGAGCUCCUGCUGCAUGGUGGGGGUUGGAAAGUUUCGGCGGUUGGGGAUGGACUCGCGGCUUAUCAGCUUGUUGGUGGGGUAGUGGCUUACCAAGGCUUUGACGGGUAGCCGGCCUGAGAGGGUGACCGGCCACAUUGGGACUGAGAUACGGCCCAGACUCCUACGGGAGGCAGCAGUGGGGAAUAUUGCACAAUGGGCGGAAGCCUGAUGCAGCAACGCCGCGUGCGGGAUGACGGCCUUCGGGUUGUAAACCGCUUUCGCCUGUGACGAAGCGUGAGUGACGGUAAUGGGUAAAGAAGCACCGGCUAACUACGUG
rnacentral:rRNA from 1 species